GAUGAACGCUGGCGGCGUGCCUAAUACAUGCAAGUCGAGCGAACAGACGAGGAGCUUGCUCCUCUGACGUUAGCGGCGGACGGGUGAGUAACACGUGGAUAACCUACCUAUAAGACUGGGAUAACUUCGGGAAACCGGAGCUAAUACCAGAUAAUAUAUUGAACCGCAUGGUUCAAUAGUGAAAGACGGUUUUGCUGUCACUUAUAGAUGGAUCCGCGCCGCAUUAGCUAGUUGGUAAGGUAACGGCUUACCAAGGCGACGAUGCGUAGCCGACCUGAGAGGGUGAUCGGCCACACUGGAACUGAGACACGGUCCAGACUCCUACGGGUGGCAGCAGUAGGGAAUCUUCCGCAAUGGGCGAAAGCCUGACGGAGCAACGCCGCGUGAGUGAUGAAGGUCUUCGGAUCGUAAAACUCUGUUAUUAGGGAAGAACAAAUGUGUAAGUAACUAUGCACGUCUUGACGGUACCUAAUCAGAAAGCCACGGCUAACUACGUG
rnacentral:rRNA from 1 species